GACGAACGCUGGCGGCGUGCCUAACACAUGCAAGUGGAGCGACGAACCGGGCUUCGGCCCGGGGCCAAGCCGCGAACGGGUGAGUAACACGUGGGUAACCUGCCCUGAUGAUUGGGACAACCCGAGGAAACUCGGGCUAAUACCGAAUGUGCCCUCCGACCAUAAGGUCUGCGGGGAAAGGAAGCUUCGGCCUCCGCAUCGGGAUGGGCCCGCGGCGCAUUAGCUUGUUGGUGAGGUAACGGCUCACCAAGGCGACGAUGCGUAGCUGGUCCGAGAGGACGAUCAGCCACACUGGGACUGAGACACGGCCCAGACUCCUACGGGAGGCAGCAGUGGGGAAUCUUGCGCAAUGCGCGAAAGCGUGACGCAGCAACGCCGCGUGGGGAAGACGGCC
rnacentral:rRNA from 1 species